UUGCAUCUAAGAUACUCAACAAACCCUUCGUGAUAUUCGUUGAUUAAGUCAUCUAAAAUUUUACAUUUUUUCAUGUAGGCGGCGUACUUGGUACCGGUUAUGAACAUAUUGUUAGAACAAAGUGUUGUUGGUGCGUCUCAUGCCAUGGGGCAAAAGCCAGAAGUUGUAAUUGUCGCACCCACUCGUGAAUUGGCCAUUCAAAUUCACCGCGAGACGUGUAAAUUCUCAUACAGUUCGGUUUUAAAGUCUGUGAUUAUAUAUGGAGGAACCCUCACGAGCCAUCAGCGGUCAAAUCUUCAAGCUGGGUGCAAUAUUUUUGUCGCGACCGCGGGGCGAUUCAAUGAUUUUCUCGACCGUGAAGUAUUUGACUUCUCGGGAGUCAGGUUUUAAAUUUUGGACGAAGCUGAUCGAAUGCUUGAUAUGGGUUUCGGUCCCAAUGUUGAAAAAAUUGUCAAUCAUCCAACGAUGCAUCCGAAAGGAAUCCGUCGUGUUUGUAUGUUUUCGGCUACAUUCCCAGAUGAAGUGCAAUAGCUGGCUGCGACGUACAUGGAAGACUACAUAUUCGUCACAACAGGCAUUGUCGAUGGCACCAUUCCGGGUGUUGAACAGCUGUUUUUUCAGUGCUCGAAAAGAGAUAAGAGAGCUAAGCUGAUCGAAGUUUUACAAGAUCUCGGUGGUGCCAAGACUAUCCUUUUUGUCAACAGCAAAAAGACCGCGUAUUUCGUCGCUGCAUUCUCUUGCAAUAACAACUUACAAUCUACCGACAUCCAUCGUGAGCGUAAACGAAAAUCGUAAAUGUCUCUUCUGAAGCUUCUGACAGAAGAAUAUGCUCGCAAUCAACUCACGAAUCAU